rnacentral:lncRNA from 1 species
GGCAGACUGUGUAAAGAUCUACACCUAUUUCAAUGUGGCACUGUGGGCAUGUACUGGCUCACUGUUAGGAACUGUAUUAUAUACGAAAGACAGGAAUCUAAACGAAUCGCUGUGUUCAUUAGCUCUUACAACUGCUGGCUCAGCUCAAUAGAUGGCAGGUAGUGAGGACUGUGCGUCGUUUGCUCUGUUUACAUAUAAUAUGGCUUGUUUACUUAUACUGUGGUUUAUUUACAAAUACUAUGGUUUGUUUUCAUCAUCUUACGGGUGAAACUCAAAUUCAAAACAAACUUGAUAAUGAGUAAUACCAUAUUUAAAGGGUUUCUCGUAUAGUAAGGGGUCAGCUCAACAGAUGGCGCUGCUACGAUGAUCUAAUAUCACAUUUUUUUAUCGGUAUAGAUGGUAACUUUUCCGUCCUACUCAAGUGUAUCCGAAGCUGAACAAUUUAGAGUAAUGUACAGUAUUAUUAUUUCUGUUUAUUUUUCCAUAAAGUUUUUCUAAUUGUUUCUUUUCUUUAUUACGAUAUUAAUUAAUUUAACCUAAAAUUUGAAUUAAAUCUUGUAUUUUCUAUUAAGGUUGGAUUUAUUUUUUUAAAAUCACCUUAUUCGGAUACGGUUUUUGGCGGGAAGAAUACUAGACGGAGGCGAUUGACGCGUCGACGCCUCAGUACCAAUAUAGACACAGAGGGGGAAGGUGCUGUCGGUCGUCUCUCUCACUUACCAGAACCUUCGUUUGAUAAUGAUGGAUCCAGUUGUUGUUGUGUUAAAGGCCAGGUUGGUGCACCAGUGGUCGUCAGCGUGGAUACGUACUGUACCACCUUAUUUAUUGAGGAUGAUGACUUGAAGAUGGAGAAAUGAUGACCACAAGAGUUCUUCUGGUGACCUGAUUCAUGAUGCACCAGACACACAAGUCCAGGUU